rnacentral:rRNA from 1 species
AUGCUUGGGUGCGCUCACGCGGCCAACGUCCAUGAUCCUGCUCAUGAAGGGUCCAUGCGUGCCAUUGCUUCAUCAAGCCACGCCGACGGAGCUUCCUCUACUCAUGUUGCCUCGUCAUCCCGCGUUGUUGAGCAGCAAGAGGAAGAAGAAACAGAGGACGACGAAGAAGAGGAGGAGGAGGACGCAGAGGAGGAGGACGCAGAAGAAGAGGAGGAGGAGGAGGACGCAGAGGAGUACGACGACAAUGACGGGCCUCAACCGACGCAGCCAAGCCAGGGGAAGAGGGUAUCUCAUCCACACCAGGAUAUUUUGAGCCCAUCCCCGUUUCAGAAACCGGUUCCUCGUCGUCGCACAAAGAAGCCGGACGAAACCCGCUCGAAGAGAAACGACGACCGUACCGCUAAGAGGAGCAGGAGGAAGUAA